UCCAAUUGGUCAACUGCUGCUUCUUUAAUUUAAUUUUUUAAAAGUUAUAAAAAUAUAUUAAAAUUUAUGGUUUUUAAUUUAUAAAAAAUAGUAUAAUAUUUGUAUAAAAUAUAUUUAAAAAAUUAAAAAAAUAAAAGGUGACUAAUUUUUAGGUUUUAAAAAAAUGAGAAAUAUGAAAAGGAAAAUCACUGAAAAGGUGAAAAAUGAAAGGUAUACACGUUAUGAACUUAAAGCACUCAUCUAUGCCUAUAUUGGAAACUAUAUUGGAAGCCAACUCAUCAUCCUUCAAACUCUUGUAAAGAAAAAACGAUGGGCCACCUAACAUUUGAAUCGAUAAACUAAAUAAAGUAAUAAAUUAGUAACAAGUGAGGAUUAUUUUCUUGUAAAAAUAGAAGUAAGAUGCGAUGUGCUUUUGACGCAUCUGUACUUUUGAUGGAUUUCACCGUCGGAAGACGUUUCCCCGACACCAAUCUGGAUCGUAUCUCUCAAGCACCGUCGGACGCCGUUAUGGGUACGAUGCUCACUCUCCGACGCUGAUCUGGAUCGUAUCUCUGCUUCAGGCGGUGGUGUUGACGGAACUCACCCCAGACGGCGUUCACUUACUUGAUCCAGGUACGUUCUUGUCUAAACCUUCUGAAUUGUGCUUCAUCUUGGCUAAUUGAAGCAUCUUCAUCUUCAUACUGCCGGCCGAUCUCUUUAAAUCGCAACUCCAUUUUUCCGAGUUUUCUUUCAAAUUCUGUUCAAUCGACUCCAGCUUGGAGUCAAAUCGAUUUUAAUUCGACUGUAUAAUGACAAUUGUGUUUUCAAUUUAUUCUACUCUAUUGUUUAAUGAUCGUCGGAUAGUUUAUAGGUUAUGUCGAGUUUGUUCGACUUAAGAGAAUCUAGUCGAUCAUUUAACGAAAGGAUUAGCUAGGAAAUUGAUAAAUAUGUCGGUUAUCAAGAUAAGUUUAAGUCCCGUUUGGUAUCUCUGAAAGGGUAAGAUACCCAAUUCCCUCCUAAUACAAUGCUAGGAAUUGAAUUCAAUGUAGAAGGCUUGCUUUUGGAGAUCAAAGCACAUUGGUUUACUUCUUCCUAAGGACCAUCUAUGUGAGUGAAGUUUUACCGCUUCAGGAAGCUUAGUGCUUGGCUUUUAUGCACUCGUGGGGACAAAACAAUGACUUGUAAUAGUUUCAAGCAUGAACAUUAGAAUUUAUGUAAAAACUUGUGUGUAUAAUAUCUUCAAUUACUCAAUCCUAAUGACAUCGUGAUUCUUGAGUA